UACGGGGGGGGGCAAGCGUUGUUCGGAAUUACUGGGCGUAAAGGGCUCGUAGGCGGCCAACUAAGUCGGACGUGAAAUCCCCAGGCUCAACCUGGGAACUGCGUCCGAUACUGGAUGGCUUGAAUUCGGGAGAGGGAUGCAGAAUUCCAGGUGUAGCGGUGAAAUGCGUAGAUAUCGUGGAGGAAUACCGGUGGCGAAGGCGGCAUCCUGGACCGACAUUGACGCUGAGGAGCGAAAGCUAGGGGAGCAA
rnacentral:rRNA from 1 species